UCCUCGAUGGUCUAGUGGUAAUGAUUUCCGCUUGUCAGCUUAACAACUGCAAGCGCGGGAGACCUGGGUUCGAUUCCCAGUCGGGGAG
rfam:Aspergillus glaucus CBS 516.65 unplaced genomic scaffold ASPGLscaffold_32, whole genome shotgun sequence.